GGCAGAUCCAUUUUCUGCCACCGAAUACAUUAGCAUGGGAUAAUGGAAUAGGACCCUGUCCUCCUAUUUUCAGUUGGUUUUGGCAGCGCGAGGACUAGGGUAAUGAUUAAUAGGGAUAGUUGGGGGCAUUAAUAUUUAAUUGUCAGAGGUGAAAUUCUUGGAUUUAUGAAAGAUUAACUUCUGCGAAAGCAUCUGCCAAGGAUGUUUUCAUUAAUCAAGAACGAAAGUUAGGGGAUCGAAGACGAUCAGAUACCGUCGUAGUCUUAACCAUAAACGAUGCCGACCAGCGAUUAGGAGACGUUGAAUACAAAACACCACCAUCGGUUGCGGUCGUCCUUGGCGUCUCGGUUUCGGCCGGGGCGCGGGGAUGGCUUAGCCCGGUGGCACCGGUGAAUGACUCCCCUAGCAGCUUGUGAGAA
rnacentral:rRNA from 1 species